CUGCGGGGAUGAUAAAAAUAAUUGAACUCUCUCUUUCUGAUGGAUUAGUGGAGAAAACUUAAAAUUCUGAGUAGU